rfam:Schistosoma mattheei strain Denwood, Zambia genome assembly, scaffold: SMTD_scaffold0002166
GAACUGCUGAGGAGUCCGACGAUAGGACGAAACGGCCGUCGAGUGU